AAAGCACACACAUGCACACGAAAAAGCAGCCUGCACGGAGGAAUUACUGAUUUCGACAGGAAUGGAAUUUCUCGCUCACUGCCUUGUUCGGUUCGUCAGACCUCCCACUGUCUGGAUGUCAUAAACUGCAAGCUCCCUGUAGACCUGAAGCAGAUGCCUAAAGGAGCUUCCUCGUUCUUACAGAGUAGCUUCAUCUCCCUUUUACUAGAAUGGCAUGACUUUCACAGAUACUUCAUCCUUCCUCUGCUUCAAUGACUCAUUUAAGACGGCAGCUCUGCUCUGGACAUCAGAAACGCAGAAGGGGUCAAGCAAUGCAAAAAUAUCCAACCUCUCUGUGCUGAACCCAGUGAAAGGCAGGUAUCAGGGCUUCCACGGGUGCUUUCGCCUCUAUGCAGAACUAAGCAUGUACUUUGCCUUGAGAGAGCAGGGAGGUACAACCCCUAGAUGGUUAGUCACGUCUAAAGGCAGCCUUGACUAUUGCUUCUCCUAAUGUCAAGCUCAUUCUGGAUCUCUCAGCCUUCUUGACCCAUGCCAUUGCAGUAACGUGAGAACAGGUUGCAUGAUCUUUCUGAAAUCCACGCGGGAGCAGCGUCCUUCAACCUUGCGUCCACAGGUGAUGAUCCUGAGCAAGCUGGGUGUUGUAGCGCCAGCACCCUGUGUCCUCCUGUGGGCCACGGGUCGUGAUGACUGAAAACCUGUGGAUCUGCAAGUUACAGCCCAAAGAAGGAGGUAAAUGUGAAAGACAACCUGGAACAGCUUAAGAUAUUUCCAUUUCAGCUGCACUAGGAAGAAGCUGGCAGGUUGGUUUGUGCUGAGACAAUAUUAUGCUGUGUUCUGAUCCUCUGAAUUACAAAUGAGCCAGUUCCACUGUAGGUAAAACUUUAUUUCAUCCAGACACAUAUCAGUGCGAAUCCCAUAGCAUAAAGCUCUAUAUUCCAGUAUUAGUACCAGAAUCUCUUCCACUAAUUUUUUCCUCAAUUUAAAGCUUGCAAGCAGCAGUGAGCAUUUUCCACUUGAUUUACUUCAGUUUGCUGCUUGAAGAUGCACUUGCUGCCCACAAUUAACACUGGUCAUCGUCCAAAGCCUGUAUCACCUCAGCUCUUACCCAUCUUACAACAUCUUUUUAAUGGGGUGAUCAAAACCACACACCAUAUUGCAAAGGUGGCAUUGUGGGAACUUUCUGCCAAGCCAUCAUCAUCUAUGGGGAGUCUUACAUGUCUGUUAAAAGCUGUUUUAGCCUUUUAGUCAGGCAAUACACACUAUAGAAGGUGGGUGCACUUCAUCCUUCAUUCCUUUCCCUUCUUCCAAUAAAUUCCAUCGCUUUGUAAAAGGUGAUAAAGUUGGUUUUUUUCCCUGUAUUCACUGCUGAUGUCUACUCAUAAUCUUAGAUCCUACAAUAUUUAAAUUAGACUUUUUUUCCCUCUCAAGGUCAGUACAGUACUACAAAAAGAAAACAAAAGCUGUUUCAAUUUAUUGUGCUCCAUACACAGAUUUGUCUGUAUUUCUCUGGGCUUUUAUUUUUUUUUUCCUUUUCUUUUCUUUCUUGUUUCUCUAGCAGCACAUAAGCAGAAAAGCAAGAGUAAGCUGAAUCCAUGAGGAACUUGCUACAUUUCUACUUGGACAUUGAUGGAUGGAGAAGCAUUUAAAAGAAAAAAAAUAUCAAUAUUGAAUCCAAAAAGGUGGAGUCACCUCUGCUGGUUUAGCAGCAUUAUGGGGUGGCAGGGAGUUGCCCAAAUAUGUUUGUAUUUCCCAUCUCCCCAGAAGCUCAUGGGUUCAACAGCAUAUGGAAGACACUACCAGAGACCUGUGAAAUAGGUGGGGACCUGCCAGACCAGCAGGAGUUAACAUUACAAAUGUAUUUUCUAUGCAUACCUUUAUUGCUCUUUAAAGAUGGCAGAACAAAACAGCUGCAGCCCUGAAAUGAUGAUCUUAAAAAUAUAAAUAUAGCUGCUAUUUGUUACAGCUCUCUAUUAAACUGGCAGAUGAUUGCUGUUAUGUUUUCCCUCUCUUAUUCCUGGGAUAGCACAUUUUCCAACUUGUUAAGUUACAGUAUGUAAUUUAUGACCAUCAAAGUGGAAAACAUUACACAGUGCAUGAAUUUGCAUCAGCAUGAAUGUCUGUUAUCGAAUGUGUGCUGUAGUUCUAGAAACAUGCAGUUAUUCCUCCUUGGCAAAACUAAUAUUUUUGUUAUCAGGUUUUGUUUAGUUGUAUUUAACUGAUUAGAACAGCUUUAAUGGAUACAUGCAAGAGUUCUGUAAGGGGCAGUCCCCAGUAGGUCUACUUUUCUGUGAAAUCAGGCAAAGCUAUUGUCUAUGAAAAUAUAGUCCAGCAUUAAAUCAAGGUUGGUUCAGCAAUGUGAACUUGCAAGAAGGUGCAAACUUGCAACAGACAGGCUGGCUGAUUGAAUCCUUAAGUAUUGUAACUGUGGCAUGUCAACAAUGCUAGCAUCGUAGGCUGGGAUCCAGUCUGCUUGUUUAAGAUAGAUCUUAACUGUAGGUGCACAGAAAAAAAAUGCCUUAAUGGAAAGGUAAUUGAGUGUCUCCAUUGAGAGUCAAUGGAAAAGCUUCCAUUGAUUCCAUGGCAGUGAAUUUAGGGGCACUCAUUCAUUGGACUGCUGUGCUGGAUCCCACUUUUUAAUCAUUUCAUGUAAGGUGGUGAUUCACAGAUCAGGCUACAAAUUGUAUCUUCAUAGCAUCUGAUUCUUGAAACAGUGAGAGCUGAGUCAGAUCUGCAAAAUACAUUAAAAGAAUCAUGUUACCUCCAGGUAUGUAAAUAUUUCUUUACAUCUAGAUGCAGCACUGGCUGAACUAGUUGACUCAGCUCAACUGACUGUGCCAAGACUUUGCUGUUACUUCCAAAGUUUGCAAUGCUGUAUUUUCUGCAGAAUAAUUUUACUAUAAUUUUAAGUGUUCCAGAGGAAAUGCAGCAUCUUUUUGGCUUAGUGGUACAACUAAUUCCCACCUUCUUUUUUAGAUGCAGUUUGUGAACAGGUACUCUCUACAGAGCCUGUAAAAUUCUGCUCUGAAGACCUUGGGGAGAUCACAAAAACUUACAACUUGAUUUGUAAAAGAAGCUGUUAUUAUUUACCUAGUUUAAUAGACUGAUUUAUCUGUGCUCUUUUUCCUGAAUACCACUGGAAUCUGAAUGUUUUUCUUUAGAACACUUAAGGCAAUCAAAACUAUUUAUUUAAAGCACUGAAUCACUUAAGGAAACAAAUGGAAUACAACCAAAAGCUAAAAUAUUUUUCCAGUGGGGUUUGAUAUCUCUGUAAACAUUUUGACUUUCAUUUUCUUCCUACUCAUUUUUGAGUCUGUCGAGGAUCUAAUAUUAAAUUUUCUAUCAGUUUCUACUAGGGGUGCAAGUACUAUAAGUUGAAAUACAAGUGGAGAACCUGCUGGCUUUAUGUAGUGCAGUUUAUACCCUCCCACACUCUAACAUAUGGCUGAACACCACUGUAUUGUGGAGUCCAAUAAAAGACUGACUUACAGUCUUUUUUAGGAAAAUCCACACUCACUGGGCAUCUCCCUAUCUUACACACUGGUAUCAUACAAACAUGGGCUACAGCUGAGCAUCAGAGCUGUGUAGGGUAGACACAGGAAUCCCUGAGGGCACCUCUGAUCUGAAUGUUAAAUUAGCUUUAUUGAAAUAUCUCUUUUAAAUGAAUGGAACCUGAUGCCUCUCUUGUACUGGAAUAUGCCUUCUUAAUGAUGCUUCCUUGAAAGCUGUUGAUGAGAGGCAGGAAUGAGGGAGCAGUCAUUACCAUUAAAAGUAUUGAAGUGUUAAAUGGUAAAAGUGAUUGCCUUUCUUCCAACCAUAAGUUUUUAUCAUGUUUAUUAAUACAAUAUAGGGCACUGUAGCUUUCUGUGGUAUGUGCAGAGUCACUGAACUCAUGUAUAGAUCACCUUCUUGCGCACCAAUAAAUCCCAGUUAGCUGCUGGUCUGCUCUGGUCAUCUGUGCAAAAGUCCUGAGAGACAUGCUGGCAUGAUCCACUGCAGAGAAGAUGUAUGUGUCUAGGCAUAGGUCUAGGACUAGGGCAGACAGAGUAUUUCCCACAGCAUUCGUAUCUUUCAUGAACAUGGCUGUAGCCUUGGCAGAUAUCCCCGUGUGUGUCUUUGUGAGAUACCGUCAAGGAAAGACUUCAUGAAGAUUGCUGGUGCUACUGCAGCAAGGGCAGAGAGGAUGCAUGAGCAUCCUUGGGGUGGAUGGAAGGCACCCAAGAGAGCCCUUUAGGCUGACAGCGUUUCCUGGGAUGUCCUGGCAGAUACAGGGCGGCAAUAGCCCCAGUGCUCCAGUGAUUAAUUGGGACCUGUAGCACAGUUCUUACAUGGUAAGCAGAGGCAGGCAAAAAGGAAGGCACUUUUAAUGCAGGUGUGAAAGUAGAUCAGGGUGAUAAGGAGAAAUACCAGGAACAGAUGCUGCUGCAAAGUAACAGGACCUGAAGAAUAGAAAGUGAGGACUGAGAAGGAUUUGAUGUGUGACAGGUGAAGGGCAGAAAGGGGAGGAAAGGAAGAUCUACCUGUCAGUUAUGGUAUGCAGAUUCAUAAGAGUCAGGUAUCAGGUAUGCGGACUCAGGUGAAUCUUUGUCAAAAACUCCCUUCCAUAUCCUGUGGCCAGCUAGAUUCCUUUGUAAGCCCAGGAAUAAACCUUUUCCACAUCCAUGGUUUCAAAUUUGUUACUUCAAAUGCAAAACCUCAAAAAGUAGAAACCCUAACAUGAUAUCUCUUUCCAAAAAAAGUCUUUGGGGUCCUGGAGGGCUCUCUUUAAACUUUUAAUCCUUUCUUGGCUAACUGUCAAGUCCUUAUUUUAAUGUCCUUUUUAUUCUUCAGUACUUCUUCGACUACUUUAUCCAUGUGUUUGUCAGGCAUGCCGUAGAAAGAAGAACUUCUCCAAGUAACUUAGACCCCUGUCCCUGUUCGGACUAAGAAAAGGAGAGCUUGGCAGUGGAGUACAGUAUCUUUCAAACCACUGGUAAAUCAAUAUAAAUGGAAAAUCUCCUGUUUUCACUCCAGUGUGUUUCCACAUGUGAGAGAAAACAGCUUAUCUAUGCCAGGUUCUGCAGUGAGCCAGAAUCUGGUCCAUAGGGAUCUCGUUACUCUCGUUUCCCAAGGUGCUGUGCCAGUAUGCUUUCCUGUCUGAGAAUGACCUUUAAUACCUGAACACUGGAAAUCCAGUGAUGG